CCGGUCCAAUUGAAUUUGCUUCAUUGUACUUCAUUGAACUGUUACUAAAGCAGUGUUAAAGUGGCAUUAAUGCUAUACUAAAGCUAUUCUAAAACUAUACUAUAGUUAUACUAAAAAAAUACUAAAGCAGUAGUAAAUUAGUACUGCAGUAGAAUCAACAUGUCCCAUGUUUUCAUAAAAUGUUUACUUUCUGCUGCAUUCUGUGUUUACUACGGACAAAGCAUCAUUAUCACUUGUUUUAAUGAUGUAUUGUUUGUUUGUUUAGCUCAUGCCUUUGCAUUGCUCUACUGGUGGCUGGGAACAGCAUGGCACAGCCUGACCUCUGGAAUCUCUCUGCUUGAUGUUUUUCUGCUCAGCAGACACACUGCAUAUGGGAGGAAGGCUAUCUUCCUCUUCCUCCUCUUGCUGCUUUUCGCCUGGGGCCUACCCUGUUAAGUGUUGGGCAUUCCGUGGUCCCCAAAGAUUACUCACAUUACCUUGGAACACAUCCCUCAUAACUUGUCAUCCACUGGACACAUCAACAUUGCUCCAAAGGACUUCACCGUUCAUGCACUGACACAUGAAAACGAGGAAGGGAAACCUCUUGGAACAUUUACUUAUGACCAAGAUGGAGAACCCAUCCAGACCUACCAACUUCCUGUAAGAAAGUUGUACAGUAACUCACCAAAAUAUAGAAAGAUGGAAAUAUUUACACAUCA